AAAGCGUGCGCAGGCGGUUAUGUAAGACAGAUGUGAAAUCCCCGGGCUCAACCUGGGAACUGCAUUAGUGACUGCAUAGCUGGAGUACGGCAGAGGUGGAUGGAAUUCCGCGUGUAGCAGUGAAAUGCGUAGAUAUGCGGAGGAACACCGAUGGCGAAGGCAAUCCCCUGGGCCUGUACUGACGCUCAUGCACGAAAGCGUGGGGAGCAAACAGGAUUAGAUACCCGAGU
rnacentral:rRNA from 1 species